rnacentral:rRNA from 1 species
GAUGAACGCUGGCGGCGUGCUUAACACAUGCAAGUCGAGCGGGCAAUUUAUCUAGCACUGAUUACUUCAAAUGGAAAUCAUAAGUGUAAUCAUGAAUUUCUACCUUUAAUAAAGAAAAAAGAAAUUCAUGUACGCAAAUAGUGAUAACACAUUUUAGUGGAGUGAUGAGUGCUGGAUAAAUUGCUAGCGGCGGACGGGUGCGUAACACGUGGGUAACCUGCCCCUAUCACUGGGAUAACACACUGAAAAGUGUGCUAAUACCAGAUAACAUAAGCUUUUGGCAUCAUUAGCUUAUCAAAGAAUUUCGGAUAGGGAUGGGCCCGCGUCUGAUUAGCUAGUUGGUGAGGUAACGGCUCACCAAGGCAACGAUCAGUAGCCGACCUGAGAGGGUGAUCGGCCACACUGGAACUGAGACACGGUCCAGACUCCUACGGGAGGCAGCAGUGGGGAAUAUUGCACAAU